rnacentral:tRNA from 1 species
AAGUAGAUAGUGUAAUUUAGCAUGUGCGAUUCCGGGUCGUAAAGUACUUAAGUGUUUUACUUU